GGUGGCUCAGUGGUAGGGUGCUUGCCUUGCAUGCAUGAGGACCUGGGUUUGAUUCCUCAGCACCA
rnacentral:tRNA from 1 species